rnacentral:rRNA from 1 species
CAGUCGCCGCGGUAAUACGAAGGGUGCAAGCGUUACUCGGAAUUACUGGGCGUAAAGCGUGCGUAGGUGGUGGUUUAAGUCCGUUGUGAAAGCCCUGGGCUCAACCUGGGAAUUGCAGUGGAUACUGGGUCACUAGAGUGUGGUAGAGGAUAGUGGAAUUUCCGGUGUAGCAGUGAAAUGCGUAGAGAUCGGAAGGAACAUCUGUGGCGAAGGCGACUAUCUGGGCCAACACUGACACUGAGGCACGAAAGCGUGGGGAGCAACAGGAUUAGAUACCCCAGUAGUCCCUGUCUCUUAUACA